rnacentral:lncRNA from 1 species
UUUUGCUUCUCUACUGCUUCACAUCAAGUACAUCGUCUUGGAUAUGGGGCUCGGUGGAUUUUUAAGGUAUUUAUAGUCUAGAGGGCGCGUGGCAAAAAUUGGAAGGAGAGGGAAUGAAGGAAUCCCCCAGGUCGAUCGGCUUGGGAGGGUCCAAGUCGAUCGGCCUGGGCCUUCAUUUUGGCCCCUUGCAUCCUGCUUCAUCUCCAAGUCUCCCUCGAUGCUCAGGAGUCUUAUUUUCACUCUCAUGUGGGCCUAGCAUGUCGGUAUCUUCGAGAUAAGAUUGAU